UCACACUAUCAUUAACUGAAUCCAUAGGUUAAUGAGGCGAACCGGGGGAACUGAAACAUCUAAGUACCCCGAGGAAAAGAAAUCAACCGAGAUUCCCCCAGUAGCGGCGAGCGAACGGGGAGGAGCCCAGAGCCUGAAUCAGCAUGUGUGUUAGUGGAAGCGUCUGGAAAGGCGCGCGAUACAGGGUGACAGCCCCGUACACAAAAGCGCAUGUGCUGUGAGCUCGAUGAGUAGGGCGGGACACGUGGUAUCCUGUCUGAAUAUGGGGGGACCAUCCUCCAAGGCUAAAUACUCCUGACUGACCGAUAGUGAACCAGUACCGUGAGGGAAAGGCGAAAAGAACCCCGGCGAGGGGAGUGAAAAAGAACCUGAAACCGUGUACGUACAAGCAGUGGGAGCACAGGUUUACCUGUGUGACUGCGUACCUUUUGUAUAAUGGGUCAGCGACUUAUAUUCUGUAGCAAGGUUAACCGAAUAGGGGAGCCGGAGGGAAACCGAGUCUUAAUUGGGCGUUAAGUUGCAGGGUAUAGACCCGAAACCCGGUGAUCUAGCCAUGGGCAGGUUGAAGGUUGGGUAACACUAACUGGAGGACCGAACCGACUAAUGUUGAAAAAUUAGCGGAUGACCUGUGGCUGGGGGUGAAAGGCCAAUCAAACCGGGAGAUAGCUGGUUCUCCCCGAAAGCUAUUUAGGUAGCGCCUCGUGAAUUCAUCUCCGGGGGUAGAGCACUGUUUCGGCUAGGGGGCCAUCCCGGCUUACCAACCCGAUGCAAACUGCGAAUACCGGAGAAUGUUAUCACGGGAGACACACGGCGGGUGCUAACGUCCGUCGUGAAGAGGGAAACAACCCAGACCGCCAGCUAAGGUCCCAAAGUCAUGGUUAAGUGGGAAACGAUGUGGGAAGGCCCAGACAGCCAGGAUGUUGGCUUAGAAGCAGCCAUCAUUUAAAGAAAGCGUAAUAGCUCACUGGUCGAGUCGGCCUGCGCGGAAGAUGUAACGGGGCUAAACCAUGCACCGAAGCUGCGGCAGCGACACUGUGUGUUGUUGGGUAGGGGAGCGUUCUGUAAGCCUGUGAAGGUGUGUCGUGAGGCAUGCUGGAGGUAUCAGAAGUGCGAAUGCUGACAUAAGUAACGAUAAAGCGGGUGAAAAGCCCGCUCGCCGGAAGACCAAGGGUUCCUGUCCAACGUUAAUCGGGGCAGGGUGAGUCGACCCCUAAGGCGAGGCCGAAAGGCGUAGUCGAUGGGAAACGGGUUAAUAUUCCCGUACUUGGUGUUACUGCGAAGGGGGGACGGAGAAGGCUAUGUUGGCCGGGCGACGGUUGUCCCGGUUUAAGCGUGUAGGUGUGUGUUCCAGGUAAAUCCGGUUCACUUUAACACUGAGGCGUGAUGACGAGGCACUACGGUGCUGAAGCAACAAAUGCCCUGCUUCCAGGAAAAGCCUCUAAGCAUCAGGUAACAUCAAAUCGUACCCCAAACCGACACAGGUGGUCAGGUAGAGAAUACCAAGGCGCUUGAGAGAACUCGGGUGAAGGAACUAGGCAAAAUGGUGCCGUAACUUCGGGAGAAGGCACGCUGACACGUAGGUGAAGUGAUUUACUCAUGGAGCUGAAGUCAGUCGAAGAUACCAGCUGGCUGCAACUGUUUAUUAAAAACACAGCACUGUGCAAACACGAAAGUGGACGUAUACGGUGUGACGCCUGCCCGGUGCCGGAAGGUUAAUUGAUGGGGUCAGCGCAAGCGAAGCUCCUGAUCGAAGCCCCGGUAAACGGCGGCCGUAACUAUAACGGUCCUAAGGUAGCGAAAUUCCUUGUCGGGUAAGUUCCGACCUGCACGAAUGGCGUAAUGAUGGCCAGGCUGUCUCCACCCGAGACUCAGUGAAAUUGAACUCGCUGUGAAGAUGCAGUGUACCCGCGGCAAGACGGAAAGACCCCGUGAACCUUUACUAUAGCUUGACACUGAACAUUGAGCCUUGAUGUGUAG
rnacentral:rRNA from 1 species